rnacentral:misc_RNA from 1 species
GCAAACUUGGUCAUUUAGAGGAAGUAAAAGUCGUAACAAGGUAACCGUAGGUGAACCUGCGGUUGGAUCAUUACCAAAUUUCACAAGGAGCUGUCAUCUGAUGGCACCUGUGAAAGAAAAUCCAAUCAAUCACCUGUUGUGCACUGUCUGUCUCUGGCGGCCGGAAGAAAGCACUCACAUUAUUUGUUUGCUACAAAUAAAUGUGCAGGGUUUUUGUUCUAGUCAGCUUGGUUCACGUUGUGUGGGUCAAGUCCUGGACAAGCCGCCAAACACUUUGUUGAACUCAUUGUUUAUGCUUCAUUUGUCUAACACCUCUUGUAUCAAAAUAUACAAAAAUAACUUUUGGCAACGGAUCUCUUGGCUCUCGCAUCGAUGAAGAACGCAGC